GCCCCUCUCCUCCCUUCCUUUGAACCAAACAGGGGCGAAUCUUCCAUACUUUUACUUUCCCUUUCUCCUUCAAGUUUCUUUCUUCCCCUGGCAGCAACAAACCGACGCACACCACCUUCUUUUCCUCUUUCUUUCUCAUUUUCUUUCUUCUUCUACAAAUCACGUUUUUCUUCUUCUUCUUUUCCACUUCUUUUAUUCUUCUUUUUCUUCUUCCUUCAUGAAACAACAACCACCAUGCUAUCCUCACUCAUCCUCUCUCUCGUUCCUUUUUCACCUGGCAGCAUCAACAUCAUUUUGAUCCUCUUUCUCGUUGGCAACACAACAGCCACCAUGGACAUUUUCCCACCCAAAAUAGAGCAACGUAACAGCGCCACCGUCCCCUCCUUCCUCUUGAGCAAGCUGCCACCAUUUCUUUCUCUUGAAGAAAACCACCACCAUCUCUAAGGCCUUUUUACAGGUACGAAUAAUGGGAGCGCUUGGCGACGAAGCCAAAGGACAAAAAGGAAGCGAGCCGACACGGGAAAGAAAGGAUGUGAUUGGAUUGGAGUUGCAGUUUAGGCAGGAAAUUGGCUAAGGUGAUGGAGAACCUUCGAUGGAGCAUGACAUUUGUGCGAGUCAGAGAUGAAGACUUGGAGGACAGUGCAGUACUCGAAGAGUAGAGUCAGGUUUAAGGCUAGAGCCUUGGGUUAGAGAGCUUACCGUUAUUGGUUUAAGCUUGCAUAAUGAUUUUAGGAAUUUAUAUUUGAGGGUCUCGGGUAGGUUCCGAUGAAUUGCUUUCAGGCGGUUCCCCAAUGUGGAGAUCGUAAGGAGUAUGUCGGUUUUGCGGUGUCCUUGCAUAAUAGAUUCUUAGUGGAAUCUGAUUCUUGUUAGGUUUUGUAGGUUGUGUGUUUUCGGUUUACCAUCGGGUACUUGCCUUGUUUCAAGGCUAGAUGUAAAUUUAUUUACAGUUUGGAGUAUGCAUGACAUGCUUUGGAAAUACUUCGAAAAGGAAAAAAAUAAUAAUACUCGUGUUUAUCAAUC